UACGGGGGGAGCAAGCGUUGUUCGGAUUUACUGGGCGUAAAGGGCGCGUAGGCGGCCUUCUAAGUCGGACGUGAAAUCCCUCGGCUUAACCGGGGAACUGCGUCUGAUACUGGAUGGCUUGAGAUUGGGAGAGGGAUGCGGAAUUCCAGGUGUAGCGGUGAAAUGCGUAGAUAUCUGGAGGAACACCGGUGGCGAAGGCGGCAUCCUGGACCAUGACUGACGCUGAGGCGCGAAAGCCAGGGGAGCAAACGGG
rnacentral:rRNA from 1 species